CAACUUUUAUUGAUAAAAUAAUAAUUUCUAAAUUGUAAUAUCAUAAAUCAAUUUUUGAAUUUCGCAAACGACCUAUAUUCUCUCUCCCACUUGCUAAUAUCAUAUCUACUUUCCCAUUUUCUUGAACUCCUCUAUUUCGUAAACCUAAUCUUGGGAACGCCUCCAUAUCUUCUUCAUCAAUUUUCGGAGAACAUGAGAAUCGAGAGGCCCUGCCGCUUUUUGAUUCUACAAUCUCCUCCCCACCUAUUCGGCUUUCAUCAUCUUUCUCCAAUUUACUUUGUUUUUCGUCGCCCCUCUUCAUCAUCCGUAACGAACCAUGACGAAAUCGAAGUCGAAGAAGAAAGCGAAGAUUACUGAGCAACCAAACCCACUGCAAACACUUCCACCGGGCCUCCGACUCCCGCUGAGAUUAUUUGCGACUGAUAGAUUCCCCAUCAAGUGUCUGAACAUCUACUCGUUACCGGAGAUUUUUGGCAGUUAUGAUCGAAAGGUGCUUAUAACUGUCAAAAUCAAGCCGUCGUCUCUGUCACCUUUCGAUUUGAAGCUCCUCAAACCACUCUCCGUCCAGUAAAAGCUGUUGAAGAUGUUCAUCGCAGACUUUGUUCUCUAUCAUAUCCAAAAGAUAGGGAUCAUCUACUUCAGAGUUAAAAAUAUCAACCGGAUCCGGCAAAGAGUCCCUUAAAAAAGAGAUGAUAGGAUUUCUUGAUCUCGACGAGCUCAACCACCAUUGAUUACCCAUUAGAGCUUCACGUACUGUCGCAGUUUAGUUGUUUCAAUGUCUUGCAAGAGCUCGAUCAUACGCAAGUGAAGGACCUAAAGACUACAAUCUACUUGCUUACACCUACUUCUCCUGAACUUGAUGUGAAGAAACCCCAAGAUAUUGUUCGUCCUGGGAGUUUGAUUUUGUUAGCUGAAGCUUAUGAUCGAUGUGUUCAAGUGUGUGCUGAAUAUGCUAAAACUUUUUAUCUUGGUUGGGAUCUUCUUCUUCUUUCAUUGCUGAGUUUUAUGUCCACAACAUAUAUGUCCAUA